rnacentral:rRNA from 1 species
UACGGAGGGCGCGAGCGUUAAUCGGAAUUACUGGGCGUAAAGCGCGCGUAGGCUGUUGUGUAAGUUGGGGGUGAAAUCCCACGGCUCAACCGUGGAACAGCCCUUGAUACUGCGCGACUUGAAUCCGGGAGAGGGUGGCGGAAUUCCAGGUGUAGGAGUGAAAUCCGUAGAUAUCUGGAGGAACAUCAGUGGCGAAGGCGGCCACCUGGACCGGUAUUGACGCUGAGGCGCGAAAGCGUGGGGAGCAGACAGG